CCUCACCGCGAGUACUGGUCCGGCUGGACCUUUCCUUCUGGGGAAUCCCAUGGCCUUCACUGGCUGUGGGGGGAACCAGGACUUUUACUGUGAAAAAAUUAGAGUGUUCAAAGCAGGCCUUUGCUCGAAUACAUUAGCAUGGAAUAAUAGAAUAGGACGUGCGGUUCUAUUUUGUUGGUUUCUAGGACCGCCGUAAUGAUUAAUAGGGAUAGUCGGGGGCGUCAGUAUUCAGCUGUCAGAGGUGAAAUUCUUGGAUUUGCUGAAGACUAACUACUGCGAAAGCAUUCGCCAAGGAUGUUUUCAUUAAUCAGGGAACGAAAGUUAGGGGAUCGAAGACGAUCAGAUACCGUCGUAGUCUUAACCAUAAACUAUGCCGACUAGGGAUCGGGCGGUGUUUCUAUGAUGACCCGCUCGGCACCUUACGAGAAAUCAAAGUUUUUGGGUUCUGGGGGGAGUAUGGUCGCAAGGCUGAAACUUAAAGAAAUUGACGGA
rnacentral:rRNA from 1 species